rnacentral:lncRNA from 1 species
ACUUUUCUGAGGUAAUAAUGGCUAUUAGAAAAGGAAUUUAUGGAUAGAGUUAUAUUUUUAAUGUUUUGAAGUUAUUUAAUUUGCCUCAUUUUAAUUUACUCUUUUUCUAAGGCGGGAUGAUUAAUGUCAAUGAUCUGAACAAAGUUCUUGGAAACAUGGGAAUUAAGCUCACAGAAAAAGAACUUGAAGCUCUGAUAGCUAAUCUUCCAGUUGAUGCUAAUGGAAAGAUUGUUCUCAAUAAGCUAAUGGAUGGAGUAAAAACUGUUAUAGGGGAGGACAUUGAUAUCUCUGACACAGAAGGUGUUCUGGAAAACAUGAGGAUACAAUAUUCAGAUAAGGAACGCUUGGAGCUAUUGAAAAAGUUAUCAGCUGAUGGAGGGAAAAUUGAUGUCAGUAAACUGGACACAGUUCUGGAAAACAUGGGGAUGAAUCUCACAGAAAAGGAACUUAAAGAUCUGACUCAGAGCCUGCAAACUGAUGGUGAGCAACAAAUGGUGAACAGAGUUCAAAUAGCAGAGUGGUUAAAGGCACAGACGCUAGAACCAGACUGGGUUUGAAUUCUAACUCUUAAGGUUUAAAGUUAUGGCAUCUUAAUGUUUUUCUGUCUCAAUUUCUUCAUAUAUGAAAGGAGUACGUUAAUAACACAUCCUUAAUAGAAUUUUGUGAGGAUUAAAUUAAACCAGUGCCUGGUAUUAUACAUAAUGUGUCCAAUAAAGUCACUUAUUACUAUGAUAAAUAUUAUUGUUAUAAUCGUUUCUAUUAUUAUCAAGCACCUCUGAAAGCUUGUGAGAUUAUAGACCUCUUCAAAAUGCUUACUUGACAUCAAGCUGCUUAGAAAAACUUUGAAAACCCAACAUGGAAGUAAGAACAAACAUUUUCUCUUGACUUUUACAUUAAUUUAUAUUAAUGUUUUCUUUUGCAUGAUGAAGUCUACACAUUGCUGAGAAUGUCAACAGGAUUACUGAAGGACCAUUAGGGAGACAGGAAAAAAGAGGAAAAGUGGGGAGAGGUUUCAGAGGUCAAGGCUUGUGACAAUGGGAUAUAACAAAAUUAAAAGAGUAAAAUUGAAAAAAAAAAUAAGGGAGA